CGCAGAGGGAGAUCGACUUCUAUUGCUUCCGAGCUGAACUUCGUGCGGAAGGAGAUCGAAAAAACAGCUGAGGAGUGCGAGGUUAUGUGGGAGCAGAGCGGGAGAGAUGACAAGCCUGUCCGACCGUUGCGGUAUUUCAUUAAGAACACUGCACGAAAGAUGCGGCGGUUAGCCAGCUUGCUAGGUUGCCGGGAAGCCGAAAUCGCUACAUCUUCCUCUUCAGAAGAGCGGGAGGUAUGGACUAUUUUGUUGCUGUCAAACAUGUUCUUCCUAAUUUCA